rnacentral:lncRNA from 1 species
AGAAGGUGGUGUGCUCAAGUCUCCUGACUCAGUUUACUAUCCCCACAAUAAUAUUGGAAAACCACAUUGGAACGGGAAGACUCAUUCCAAGUACUGCUGUCACACCAGCAAGCUUCAAAGAUAUGUUUUGCUGACACACAGAGUCUGGGCAGCAUCCAGCCCCCCGUUUACUCCCUGGUCUUUAAGUCUAGGUCAUUUCAGGACCAGGACAGUUUGGCACUGGGACGUGUCUCCCAGAAGUACUAAUAGUUCGAGAGAGGAGCAAGUGUCUUCACAUCUGCAGGUCUGGGUGCCGAACUUUCUACUGUCGGUGAGAAUCAUGUCCCAGUGAAAAUGUAGAAGUGAACCAACCCUCAAAGGGAUAAGGUGACAGGGAGUGGUGUUUACUUGAGUCAGAGAGUAACUGAAAAUGACUUCUGCAGCUGGAAUAAAACAAAGGGUUGAAGGUCA